GCCGCCGUAGCUCAGCCCGGGAGAGCGCCCGGCUGAAGACCGGGUUGUCCGGGGUUCAAAUCCCCGCGGCGGCA
rnacentral:tRNA from 4 species